UCCGAGUUGACCCCGGCAGUCUCCUGCGAGUCCCCGCCAUUACGCGCUGGCAACACAGGACAAGGGUUGCGCUCGUUGCGGGACUUAACCCAACAUCUCACGACACGAGCUGACGACAGCCAUGCACCACCUGUAUAGGGCCCUUGCGGACCUGCCAUUUCUGACAGUUUUCCCUAUAUGUCAAACCCAGGUAAGGUUCUUCGCGUUGCAUCGAAUUAAUCCACAUGCUCCGCCGCUUGUGCGGGCACCCGUCAAUUCCUUUGAGUUUUAGCCUUGCGGCCGUACUCCCCAGGCGGGGCGCUUAAUGCGUUAGCUGCGGCACGGAACCCGUGGAAUGGAUCCCACACCUAGCGCCCAACGUUUACGGCGUGGACUAC
rnacentral:misc_RNA from 1 species